GCUCACUCUGGCAGCACACGCUGAAGCCGAAAUGCGAUGGAGAAGAUUAGCGUGGCCCCUGCACAGGGACGACAUGCAAAUUCAUGAAGUGUUCACAUCUUUA
ensembl:snRNA U6 U6 spliceosomal RNA